UGAUGAUGAAUGCCUUAGAGUUGAUCUGGCUCAGAAUCACGCUGGCGGCGUGCCUCAGACAUGCAAGUCGAACGAUUAACUUCCCUUCGGGGAAGAUAUAAAGUGGCGCACGGGUGAGUAACACGUAAGUAAUCUACCUUCGAGUGGGGAAUAACGUCCGGAAACGGACGCUAAUACCGCAUAAUGCAGCGGCACCUAAUGGUGACAGUUGUUAAAGAUUUAUCGCUUGAAGAGGAGCUUGCGGCAGAUUAGCUAGUUGGUAAGGUAAUGGCUUACCAAGGCUACGAUCUGUAACCGGUCUAAGAGGACGGUCGGUCACACUGACACUGAAUAACGGGUCAGACUCCUACGGGAGGCAGCAGUCGGGAAUUUUGGGCAAUGGGCGAAAGCCUGACCCAGCAACGCCGCGUGAAGGAUGAAGUAUUUCGGUAUGUAAACUUCGAAAGAAUGGGAAGAAUCAAUGACGGUACCAUUUAUAAGGUCCGGCUAACUACGUGCCAGCAGCCGCGGUAAUACGUAGGGACCAAGCGUUGUUCGGAUUUACUGGGCGUAAAGGGCGCGUAGGCGGCAAUUCAAGUCAUCUGUGAAAUCUCCGGGCUUAACUCGGAACGGUCAGAUGAUACUGCUUUGCUAGAGUGCGGAAGGGGCAAUCGGAAUUCUCGGUGUAGCGGUGAAAUGCGUAGAUAUCGAGAGGAACACCUGAGGUGAAGACGGGUUGCUGGGCCGACACUGACGCUGAAGCGCGAAAGCCAGGGGAGCAAACGGGAUUAGAUACCCCGGUAGUCCUGGCCCUAAACGAUGAAUACUUGGUGUCUGGAGUUAUUAGUGCUCCGGGUGCCGUCGCUAACGUUUUAAGUAUUCCGCCUGGGGAGUACGCUCGCAAGAGUGAAGCUCAAAGGAAUUGACGGGGACCCGCACAAGCGGUGGAGCAUGUGGUUUAAUUCGAUGCAACGCGAAGAACCUUACCUGGUCUUGACAUCCAUGGAACCCUGCAGAGAUGCGGGGGUGCCGUAAGGAACCAUGAGACAGGUGCUGCAUGGCUGUCGUCAGCUCGUGUCGUGAGAUGUUGGGUUAAGUCCCGCAACGAGCGCAACCCUUGUCCUUAGUUGCCAUCAUUUAGUUGGGAACUCUAAGGAGACCGCCGGUGACAAACCGGAGGAAGGUGGGGAUGACGUCAAGUCAUCAUGGCCUUUAUGACCAGGGCUACACACGUGCUACAAUGGUAGAUACAGAGGGAAGCCAACGCGCGAGCGGGAGCUAAUCCCAGAAAAUCUAUCGUAGUCCGGAUUGGAGUCUGCAACUCGACUCCAUGAAGUCGGAAUCGCUAGUAAUCGCAGAUCAGCAUUGCUGCGGUGAUAAACUCCCGGGUGCUUGACACACC
rnacentral:rRNA from 1 species